rnacentral:rRNA from 1 species
UACGUAGGGUGCAAGCGUUGUCCGGAAUUAUUGGGCGUAAAGAGCUCGUAGGCGGUUUGUCGCGUCUGCUGUGAAAACUGGAGGCUCAACCUCCAGCCUGCAGUGGGUACGGGCAGACUAGAGUGCGGUAGGGGAGAUUGGAAUCCUGGCGUAGCGGUGGAAUGCGCAGAUAUCAGGAGGAACACCGAUGGCGAAGGCAGGUCUCUGGGCCACUACUGACGCUGAGAAGCGAAAGCAUGGGGAGCGAACAGG